GAAAUGCGAUAAGUAAUGUGAAUUGCAGAAUUCAGUGAAUCAUCGAAUCUUUGAACGCACAUUGCGCCCGCCAGCACUCUAGCGGGCAUGCCUGUUCGAGCGUCAUUUCAACCCUCAGAACCCCUUGCGGGAUCUGGCGUUGGGGAUUGGCAUCCAGCCAGCCCCGAAAUCUAGUGGCGGUCCCUCCGCGACCUCCCCUGUGCAGUAGCGAUACCUCGCAGCGGGACAGCGGUCUGACCACGCCGUAAAACCCCCAACUUCUCAAGGUUGACCUCGAAUCAGGUAGGAAUGCCCGCUGAACUUAAGC
rnacentral:misc_RNA from 1 species